AACAUGACCCACGAACCAUGAAAAAUGGCCUAGCCUGGGAUAUUGAUAAUUUCCGUAUAUAAUAAUCUUCUGGAUAUAGGCUUUCUAGAAAUGUUUUUCUUUUUUUCAUAUAUUCUAUACUUUUUUGUUAAUAUGACGUUGAAUAUUGUGGUAUUUAAUGUUAAAAAAUUAACAUUUCGGGAUACACGUCACAACAAUAAACCUGCAAUGACCAUGUACAAUGUACAUGAACCUAUAAAUCUCUGAAUAUAUCAAGUUAUAUGCACUCAAAUAGCUAGAAUGGCUAAUUCAAUGAUCAUAAUAAGCAUUUUUGACCAAAUAUGGGAAAUAGAAAUAAGAAAUAUUUUGGAAAUGAUGUUCAAAGCCGUGAUUGUUCAACUUUACUUUUAAAUUAUUUUUACUUGAAUUUUGAAAUACUGAAAUAAGAAUAAAUAUAGUAUGUAGUCUAUUUACAUGGUGAAAGAAGUGAAUCAUUGGAACAAUUCUGUUUCAUAUCAUAUUCCAUGGUUUUUGGAUUUUGUUUUGUUUUUUUGGUUGUUUUUUGAGUUUUUUUUGUAUUAAAACGACCGAGUAUCGAUAUCAAUGGUAACGAAAUAAGUUGACACCGCGUCUCGUCAAAACAUGUUCAAUUCGAAUUUACUCGGAAUUACACGGUCAACGAGCAUUUGCUGUGAAACCUGAUUAAAGGAAAAUUACUGUAGACACCUAAUAGUAAGUAUCAAAUGAUCUUUUUUGUUACAUGUACAUGUAGAUUUCAUAGCGUGAAUAAUAACAACACAACACCGAUAUAGGGGAUCAGAGUCAGUAUAUUAUUGACUCUGAAAAUACGAUUUGAGAAAUGAUACUGUAUAAAUUUUACUGUAUUUAUCUUGAUCAAUAAUUGCAUAUUCCUAUACGUAUUAAUAAUGUAAAGAUACUGAGGUCUUUUAACCAACAAUUUUAAAUGCUUGUGCCAGGGCCGUAAAUUACAUGGAGGCGGAGGAGGCAGCUGCCUCCUCCAACUUUUGAGCCAAAAAAAAAAUUAAAAUUUAAAGUUCAUAUAGAAUUUAUGUUGUUUCCAAUAACUAAGAACAUGAUACCUCCCUUAAAAAGCAUUCCAAAUCUUUCUUUUAGAAUGAGUUAGUCAAGUAACAUCUUAGAAGGCCCUAGAAUCAAGGAUUUUGCACGAAACGUGUUCAGUGUGCACAAAAUGUGCUCAACGUCUGGGGGCCUGGGGCCCCAGACCCCCGCCUAAUUUCCUGCCUCCUCCAAAUUGAAGGUUAAUUUACGGCCCUGCAGUGUGCAAUACAUUAUUGACUGACAGAACGUAAUUCAUGAGCUGUGAUCUAAAAAUCUUCCAGACAUUAAUAUAGAUUUGAAUAGAAUUACAUCUAGAUACAUAUUUGAAAUGGAAUAUAUCCUAAGGCACUGUAGUUUUAAAUUGUUUGGAUUAUAUUGCAUUUACAUGUAAUUUAUACAUGCUUGUAAAUGCCACAGAAUGAGAAAUAAUCUAAAUUGGCCUAUUUUCAUAAUGUUCCCAAAAUAGAAGUAUCAUGUAGAUCUAUACAGGAAAUAACAUUUACAAAUCAUGUUUGUUGUUUGUUAUUUGCCAGUUAAGUAUCAUAAUGAUAAUACUAGUAUUUCAUGAUAAGUAAUUAUUAUGCUAAAAUCAAAUACCCUUUUUAUUGUCAACAAAUACAUCACUGGUAGAAAGGUUAUAAAGCUUUUAUCUAGCACAAGUUUCCAUAUUCUACAGGUUUACAUAUGUCAGCAAGUCCUCAAAAGCAGCUUUAGGGGUUCCCAGGAGAUUCUGAUGCUCACUGUUAGACUCUCACUGUUGUCAAAAUCCAACCUUAUUUUCUCUUUUCUCAAAAUUUCAGCUCUCAAAAACUUGUUUGAUUAAUUAUGUCACUCCUGUUUUGUUGAACAUGGUGUUGUCAGCAAUAGGUUCAAGUUCUUCUAUGUCUUGUUGUAGGUGAUUUGUACAGAAGCGAAUGAUGGCCUCUUUUGAAAUUAAGAUUUCAUGCCUUACUCCUACUGGGACUACAACUAACUUUGGACCUGGUCACUCGCAGAUACAGCAUGAAGUGUGCCCUCUUGAUGUACAUGGGGAUGGGAGUGAUACAGAAGGGGGACUAAUUGGAAGAACUGCUACUGCUGGUGGUGGUGCUGGACUGUCUUGAAUCUGUUGCCUAACCGACUUGAUAUUCUUCUGUUUAAUAUGGGAGCAACACACACACUCUGGCAUAUAUUGCACAGAAAAUCAUGAUCAGAUGGUGCCCUCCCUAUCAGAGUGGUGAUCACUGUCCUAUAUUUCUUUGAAAUCCUGGAUCUGUGUUUUGGUUUUACUCUCCAUGGACAGUUGAAACAGAGAAAGAAUUAGGGACCACUCCUUGGCAUAUCUGAAAUAUUUAUGUCAUAUACAUGUAAUUAAAAUAUACAAUUUGGGUUGGAUGAAAAUCUUAUCUUCAUGUUAAAACCCAUUAGCCUAGGUUAUUUUUCCUAAAAUCUAAUUAUAAAUCAAUUAACUUGUUAAUUAAUGCUUGGUGAAUCAAUUAAUAAAUUGUAUUCAAAAACUUGAAAUUAUUUUUUUUCCACUAAUAAACUGAAAAUGUGUAUCUUCAAA